GCCCCGUUCGUCUAGCGGCCUAGGACGCCGCCCUCUCACGGCGGUAACACGGGUUCAAACCCCGUACGGGGUACAA
rnacentral:tRNA from 1 species